rnacentral:rRNA from 1 species
CUACACACGUGCUACAAUGGUUGGUACAACGAGUUGCGAGUCGGUGACGGCGAGCUAAUCUCUUAAAGCCAAUCUCAGUUCGGAUUGUAGGCUGCAACUCGCCUACAUGAAGUCGGAAUCGCUGGUAAUCGCGGAUCAGCACGCCGCGGUGAAUACGUUCCCGGGCCUU